rnacentral:rRNA from 1 species
GACGAACGCUGGCGGCGUGCUUAACACAUGCAAGUCGAACGGAAAGGCCCUGCUUUUGUGGGGUGCUCGAGUGGCGAACGGGUGAGUAACACGUGAGUAACCUGCCCUUGACUUUGGGAUAACUUCAGGAAACUGGGGCUAAUACCGGAUAGGAGCUCCUGCUGCAUGGUGGGGGUUGGAAAGUUUCGGCGGUUGGGGAUGGACUCGCGGCUUAUCAGCUUGUUGGUGGGGUAGUGGCUUACCAAGGCUUUGACGGGUAGCCGGCCUGAGAGGGUGACCGGCCACAUUGGGACUGAGAUACGGCCCAGACUCCUACGGGAGGCAGCAGUGGGGAAUACUGCACAAUGGGCGGAAGCCUGAUGCAGCAACGCCGCGUGCGGGAUGAUGGCCUUCGGGUUGUAAACCGCUUUCGCCUGUGACGAAGCGUGAGUGACGGUAAUGGGUAAAGAAGCACCGGCUAACUACGUG